rnacentral:ncRNA from 1 species
GUUCAAUAACUUACCGUCAUUAAGCGUUCAAUUUUCAUCGAUCUGUAAGCCAUCAGCUAAGAAACCAGUAUUUUUUUAGUGAAGUGUAAUUUUGAAUUGUUGUAUUAUGCAGUAAUGGAUACACUAUUUAUUUAUUUGAACACAUAAAUAUUGGUUUAAAAGGGCACCGAAUACAUAUGCAUCACACAAGUCAAUUGAUUUGUGUGUGAGCUGUGAUACUACCCGGGUGGUCAGACCGGAUGUUUUCAUUGAUCAGGAGCGAAAGUCAGAGUUUCGAAGACGACCAUAUACCCUCGUAGUUCUGACCAUAAACGCUGCAAACUGACGAUCCGCGUUUGUUCUAUAAUUGACAUCGCGGGCAGUCCCCGGGAAACCUUUAAGUCUUUGGGCUC